GAGAGUUUGAUCCUGGCUCAGGACGAACGCUGGCGGCGUGUCUAAGGCAUGCAAGUCGAACGGUCUGUUGUUCUUCGGAGUAACAGAUAGUGGCAAACGGGAGCGUAACACAUUGGUAACCUACCUCGAGACUGUGAAUAAUUCCGCGAAAGCGGGACUAAUACACAAUAUGGAUGGGGGGUCAUAUGACAUCCCCAUUGAAAGUUCCGACGUCUCGAGAGGGGCCUAUGUCCUAUCAGCUAGUUGGUGUGGUAAAAGCGCACCAAGGCUAUGACGGGUAUCGGGCGUGAGAGCGUGGCCCGACUCACUGGGACUGAGACACUGCCCAGACACCUACGGGUGGCUGCAGUCGAGAAUAUUCCGCAAUGGGCGAAAGCCUGACGGAGCGACGCCGCGUGCCGGAAGAAGGCCUUCGGGUUGUAAACGGCUUUUCUUAGGGACGAACAAAUGACGGUACCUAAGGAAUCAGGGGUUGCUAACUCUGUGCCAGCAGCAGCGGUAAUACAGAGACCCCAAGCGUUGUCCGGAUUCAUUGGGCGUAAAGGGUUCGUAGGUGGCUUUGAACGUCAUGUGUUAAAUCUCUGGGCUUAACCCAGAGCCUGCGUGUGAUACGGCAAAGCUAGAGGAUGGGAGAGGUGCACGGAAUUGUCGGUGUAGCGGUAAAAUGCGUUUAUAUCGGCAAGAACACCAAAGGCGAAAGCAGUGCACUGGAACAUUCCUGACACUGAGGAACGAAAGCGUGGGUAGCGAAUGGGAUUAGAUACCCCAGUAGUCCACGCCCUAAACGAUGAGUGCUAGGUAUCGGGAGUAUCGACCCUCUCGGUGCCGUUCUAACCAAGCUAACGCGUUAAGCACUCCGCCUGGGGAGUACGGCCGCAAGGCUAAAACUCAAAGGAAUAGACGGGGACCCGCACAAGCGGUGGAGCGUGUGGUUUAAUUCGACAGUAAGCGAGGAACCUUACCUGGGCUUAAAGUCUGGCUGCAAGCCGUCCGAAAGGAUGGCCGCCUUCGAGGGUGCCAGAAAUGGUGCUGCAUGGUUGUCGUCAGCUCGUGGCGUGAGCUGUUCCCUUAAGUGGGGUAACGAGCGCAACCCCUGUCCUGCGUUAUACUUUCGCAGGGGACUGCCUUCGUAAGAAGGAGGAAGGUGGGGAUGACGUCAAAUCAGCAUGGCCCUUACGUCCAGGGCGACACACGCGCUACAAUGGCCAGUACAAUGGGUUGCCAAACCGCGAGGUGGAGCUAAUCCCAAAAAGCUGGUCGUAGUUCAGAUUGGAGUCUGCAAUUCGACUCCAUGAAGCUGGAAUCGCUAGUAACGGCCAAUCAGCCACGUGGCCGUGAAUACGUUCUCGGGUCUUGUACUCACCGCCCGUCACGUCAAGAGAGUUGGUAACACCCGAACGUCGCCGUAGGGCGGCGGAAGGUGGGACUGAUGAUAGGGACGAAGUCGUAACAAGGCACCCGUAGCGGAAGCUGUGGGUGGAUCACCUCCUUUCAAAGGA
rnacentral:rRNA from 1 species